rnacentral:rRNA from 1 species
AUACGGAGGAUCCGAGCGUUAUCCGGAUUUAUUGGGUUUAAAGGGUGCGCAGGCGGGAUGUUAAGUCGGCGGUGAAAUUUUGCAGCUCAACUGUAAAAGUGCCUUCGAUACUGGCUUUCUUGAGUGUGGAUGAAGUAGGCGGAAUUUGUGGUGUAGCGGUGAAAUGCAUAGAUAUCACGAGGAACUCCGAUUGCGCAGGCAGCUUACUAAACUACUACUGACGCUCAGGCACGAAGGCGUGGGGAUCAAACAGGAUUAGAUACCCUGGUAGUCCACGCAGUAAACGAUGAUUACUAGCUGUUUGCGAUACAAUGUAAGCGGCUGAGCGAAAGCGUUAAGUAAUCCACCUGGGGAGUACGUUCGCAAGAAUGAAACUCAAAGGAAUUGACGGGG